CCUAACACAUGCAAGUCGAACGGUAACAGGAAACAGCUUGCUGUUUCGCUGACGAGUGGCGGACGGGUGAGUAAUGUCUGGGAAACUGCCUGAUGGAGGGGGAUAACUACUGGAAACGGUAGCUAAUACCGCAUAACGUCGCAAGACCAAAGAGGGGGACCCUCGGGCCUCUUGCCAUCGGAUGUGCCCAGAUGGGAUUAGCUUGUUGGUGGGGUAACGGCUCACCAAGGCGACGAUCCCUAGCUGGUCUGAGAGGAUGACCAGCCACACUGGAACUGAGACACGGUCCAGACUCCUACGGGAGGCAGCAGUGGGGAAUAUUGCACAAUGGGCGCAAGCCUGAUGCAGCCAUGCCGCGUGUAUGAAGAAGGCCUUCGGGUUGUAAAGUACUUUCAGCGGGGAGGAAGGGAGUAAAGUUAAUACCUUUGCUCAUUGACGUUACCCGCAGAAGAAGCACCGGCUAACUCCGUGCCAGCAGCCGCGGUAAUACGGAGGGUGCAAGCGUUAAUCGGAAUUACUGGGCGU
rnacentral:rRNA from 1 species